rnacentral:rRNA from 1 species
AAGACCGAUAGCGAACAAGUACCGUGAGGGAAAGAUGAAAAGCACUUUGGAAAGAGAGUUAAACAGUACGUGAAAUUGUUGAAAGGGAAACGCUUGAAGUCAGUCACGUCUUCCCGAGACUCAGCCUUGCUUUUGCUCGGUGUAUUUCUUGGAGCGACGGGCCAGCAUCGAUUUCGAUCGUCGGAGAAAGGCUUUGGGGAACGUGGCACCUUUGGGUGUGUUAUAGCCCUGGGUCGUAUGCGACGGUUGGGAUCGAGGAUCGCAGCACGCCUUUUUGGCCGGGGUUCGCCCACGUAACGUGCUUAGGAUGCUGGCGUAAUGGCUUUAAGCGACCCGUCUUGAAACACGGACCAAGGAGUCUAACAUGCCUGCGAGUGUUUGGGUGUCAAACCCAGACGCGGAAUGAAAGUGAAAGGUUGGGACCUCUGUCGUGGAGGGCACCGACGCCCGGACCAGACCUUCUGUGACGGUUCCGAGGUAGAGCAUGUAUGUUGGGACCCGAAAGAUGGUGAACUAUGCCUGAGUAGGGUGAAGCCAGAGGAAACUCUGGUGGAGGCUCGUAGCGAUUCUGACGUGCAAAUCGAUCGUCGAACUUGGGUAUAGGGGCGAAAGACUAAUCG